CUGCAGGAAGAGCUCUCGCCUCGGGCCCCGUUUGAUUCGUCUCCGGCUCGUUCUCGAGGGUGAAAUCUAGAGAUUAAAUGGCAUCUGAGGCAUAGAAAUUCAGUGCAAAAUGGACCGAGUCAAUGACCAACCUAUUCAUCGGUUUGUUGGUGGAUGAGGUCAAAAAGGGAAAUCGGACCUCUUCUACUUUCAACAAAGCAGGUUGGAGGAAUAUCCAGACUGAAUUCAUUAGACAAACAGGAUGCCAAUAUAGCAUGGUCCAGCUGAGAAACAAGGUGAACAAACUGAGAAAACAGUAUGGUAGUUUUCAGAAACUUAUGUCUCAGUCUGGAUUUGGUUGGGAUAAUG